rnacentral:rRNA from 1 species
UCAAGCGAACAAGGGCGCAGGGCGAAUGCCUUGGCACUGGGAGCCGAUGAAAGACGUGAUAAGCUGCGAUAAGCUUCGGGGAGCUGCAAAUAAGCAUUGAUCCGGAGAUUUCUGAAUGAGGAAACUCACCUGGGUUCAUACUCAGGUACGUUAUACUGAACUUCAAAAUAGGUAUAUCGAGGGAACCGCCUGAACUGAAACAUCUAAGUAGGGCGAGGAAGAGACAUCAAACGAGAUUCCGUAAGUAGUGGCGAGCGAACGCGGAAGAGGGCAAACCGAGAGUAGAAAUACUUUCGGGGUACGGACUGCUUUUAAGACUUAAUCUGUUAACCGAACGGCAUGGGAAGGCCGGUCAGAGAGUGUGAGAACCACGUAGGUGAAAACGACAAGAGCCGAGCGAAUUCCAGAGUACGGCCAGACACGUGAAACCUGGUCGGAAUACGGGGGGACCACCCUCCAACCCUAAAUACUACCCAGUGACCGAUAGCGUAUAGUACUGUGAAGGAAAGGUGAAAAGCACCCCGGGAGGGGAGUGAAAAAGAACCUGAAACCCUGUGCCUACAAGCACCUAGAGCGCGUCAAAGCGUGAUAGGGUACUUUUUGUAGAACGGUCCGGCGAGCGAUUGUAUGCAGCAAGGUUAAGGACUUAAGGUCUGGAGCCGAAGCGAAAGCGAGUUUGAAAAGGGCGUUAAGUUGCAUAUAAUGGGCCCGAAACCGGGUGACCUACCCAUGGUCAGGUUGAAGUGGAAGUAAAAUUCCAUGGAGGACCGAACCGACCUCCGUUGAAAAGGCGGCGGAUGAACUGUGGGUAGCGGAGAAAUUCCAAUCGAACCCGGAGAUAGCUGGUUCUCCCCGAAAUAGUUUUAGGACUAGCCUCAAGUUAGAUACCUGGAGGUAAAGCACUGAAUAGCCUAGCGGCCGAGAGGUUAGCGAAGCUUAUCAAACUCAGAAUGCCAGAGUAUUGAUGCUUGGGAGUCAGACAGUGUCAGAUAAAUGUCAUUGUCAAAAGGGAAACAGCCCAGAUCUACAGCUAAGGUCCCAAAGUCAGGUUAAGUGGAAAACGAUGUGAAGAUACGCAGACAACCAGGAUGUUGGCUCAGAAGCAGCCACUCAUUCAAAGAGUGCGUAAUAGCUCACUGGUCGAGCGUCUUUGCGCGGAGAAUUUAACGGGGCUAAACCUGACACCGAAGCUUAGGCAGCAUGUUUACAUGCUGGGUAGGGGAGCGUUGUAUACGCGGUGAAACAGUAGCGCAAGCGGCUGUGGAGUGUAUAGAAGUGAGAAUGCCGGAAUGAGUAGCGCGAAUGCAGUGAGAAUCUGCAUGGCCGAAAGCCUCAGGUUUCUGGAGGAAGGUUCGUCCGCUCCAGGUUAGUCGGGAGCUAAGGUGAGGCCUAACGGCGUAGCCGAUGCACAGACGGUAGAGAUUCCGUCACCACCAAAAGAGUUAAGCACAGGGACACAUAUGAAGUCUCGGAGCCGGGUGUUGGUUCCGGUAGCGAUCGAGGGAAGUUAGUACCGAAGUCCGGGAUGGAAGAUGGCGAGAAAAGCUGUGUGUAUUUCUGCGGUGCCCGUACCGCAAACCGACACAGGUAGGUAGGAAGAAGAUUCUAAGGCCAACGGGAGAAGGGUUGUUAAGGAACUCGGCAAAUUGACCCCGUAACUUCGGGAGAAGGGGUGCUGCAGCAAUGCAGCCGCAGAGAAUCGGCCCAAGCAACUGUUUACCAAAAACACAGGUUUGUGCUAAAUCGAAAGAUGACGUAUACGAGCUGACGCCUGCCCGGUGCUGGAAGGUUAAGAGGAGAUGUGCAAGCAUUGAAUCGAAGCCCCAGUGAACGGCGGCCGUAACUAUAACGGUCCUAAGGUAGCGAAAUUCCUUGUCAGGUAAGUUCUGACCCGCAUGAAAGGCGUAAUGAUUUGGGCACUGUCUCAACAGCCCGCCCGGCGAA